rnacentral:rRNA from 1 species
CAGCAGCCGCGGUAAUACGUAGGUCCCGAGCGUUAUCCGGAUUUAUUGGGCGUAAAGCGAGCGCAGGCGGUUAGAUAAGUCUGAAGUUAAAGGCUGUGGCUUAACCAUAGUACGCUUUGGAAACUGUUUAACUUGAGUGCAGAAGGGGGGAGUGGAAUUCCAUGUGUAGCGGUGAAAUGCGUAGAUAUAUGGGGGAGCACCGGUGGCGAAAGCGGCUCUCUGGUCUGUCACUGACGCUGAGGCUCGAAAGCGUGGGUAGCGAACAGGAUUAGAUACCCCCGUAGUCCCUGUCUCUUAUACC